rfam:Phalacrocorax carbo contig71966, whole genome shotgun sequence.
UGGCAGUGAUGACUAAUCUUAGGACACCUUUGGAAUGACAGUGAAAUAAAAAUACCUUCUUUCUGAGCCAU